GGAUGUGAGAAUGAUCUGGCUGUGACAUACGUCACCCAUUGAUGUCCAAUGAGAUCAAUGCUUGAUUUGUCUGAUCUGGCUGGCUAAGCAGGUGUCCCCUUCCUCCCUCAACAAUCCAUGUGCAUUCUUCCUGAAGCUGCAUGCUCAGUUGAAGAAGACAAUCUUCAAUGAAUAGAGAAAGACUAGACUAGUCUCUGGUCAAGGGUAGCUAUGCUCCUUUGCUAGAAUCUUCAAACAUGGUCUCAAGAUAUAUAACUUCUAUAUAUUGACUGUAUUUGUUACAAUUAAAU
rnacentral:snRNA from 1 species